rnacentral:lncRNA from 1 species
CUUUUUCUUUUCUUUUUUUUUUAUAUUUUCUUUUCUUUCAAGCACCGAAAGCAGGGGAGUAGUCAUCUGCCCCCUUCUCCUGUUCCUGAACGACGGGGCCUAUGUCAGAGGCUUUCCAGGUUCGGUGAUGUCUCCUGGGUGGUUUGUUGAUGGCGUCAUUGUCCUGUGAUGGUGACAAGAAGUACUGCUUGCAAUGUCACCUCCUGGCUAAGCCUCCACUGCAUGUUCCCUGAGCAGCAGAAUGAUCCAUUUCAGAGGCAUAUUUUAUGCGAUGCUGACACCAGCUGCUCCAUGGAGACCUUCAGCCUCCUGCCAG